rnacentral:lncRNA from 1 species
GCAUGCUUCUCGCCGCCACGGGUUGAUAGCAUAGGACGAUUUUACCGGUGACGUUGCUCAAUGCCAGUGACGACUCCGUGUCACAGCUGCGCAGAAGUUGUAAUUCAGUAUAGUUGAUAAAACACUGAAUCGUGGUUACAAAAGUGGACAACUACAACAAAUGGGUCAAGUGAUUACAGAUGCAUAACUACAGAAGUUUUAUUUCAUUACCUCCCGGCAUAAACAAGGUCUUUAAAGUUGCCGCUGAUCACAGAUGCAUUGUUGUGAAGAGAUUGCCCCUGUAUUUCGAAUCAAGCACACAUUAAUAAGUAAUUAAAGGAAUCAGGGAAAGCUGGCUUCAGGGACGAGCUAAA